UGCACGGUGGGUGGGGCUUUUCGGCUCCUGGACCGCGGUCUGAAGGGCCCGGUGCGUGAGCUCUGCCUUGGGUGCCCGCGAGCCAAUGAGACUAGACUCGGCACAGAGGACAAGACGCAAACAGGGGAGGAAGAAUAAUUUAUUGGUCACUAAUUCAGAGCCAUCAACGGCAUCCUGCGAGACACCAUCCAGACUUCCUUACGAGUGGACAGGACUGCAAGGGAACAUGGGAAAUUGAACAUAAUUGACAGAGACAAGAUUCCAGAGUAGAAGGACUCAAGAUCACCUCCUCUCACAAAAACAC